UAUGGAAGCAGUUGAAAAUAGGCGCAAACAAAAAUUGAAAGAAGUUAAGUUGGUUGUUGUCAAAGGGAUUUCCAAAUCGAUCAUUCCACAUGAAGAGGCAGGCAUGAACAGAAAUAUUAUGCUCUGCUUUGCCAUUUGAAUGUGUUGUUGUUGCUGACACAUUUAGGUGAAAUUAGUCUCUUUAGACAUUAACAAUGAAUGCUUUUCAUAUCUUUGUAAGAAUGCUACUAAGAGCUUUGGAGUCUAAUUGGGCUGUGGUUUAUGAAGAAAUUGCUCUUUGGAUACCUAUUGAGGUUGCUAAUGAAGAAGCUUAAUGACAAACUUGAGGGUGAGUCCAAGAAAGAAAUGCAAAAUUUGGGUUUAUUGCCCACCACAAUAUGGGUGUCAUUCAACAGAUAUCUAUCAGUACAAAUAUCAGGAAUGCUGG
rnacentral:sRNA from 1 species